rnacentral:rRNA from 1 species
UCCAUAGGUUAAUGAGGCGAACCGGGGGAACUGAAACAUCUAAGUACCCCGAGGAAAAGAAAUCAACCGAGAUUCCCCCAGUAGCGGCGAGCGAACGGGGAGCAGCCCAGAGCCUGAAUCAGUGUGUGUGUUAGUGGAAGCGUCUGGAAAGGCGUGCGAUACAGGGUGACAGCCCCGUACACAAAAAUGCACAUACUGUGAGCUCGAUGAGUAGGGCGGGACACGUGGUAUCCUGUCUGAAUAUGGGGGGACCAUCCUCCAAGGCUAAAUACUCCUGACUGACCGAUAGUGAACCAGUACCGUGAGGGAAAGGCGAAAAGAACCCCGGCGAGGGGAGUGAAAAAGAACCUGAAACCGUGUACGUACAAGCAGUGGGAGCACGCUUAGGCGUGUGACUGCGUACCUUUUGUAUAAUGGGUCAGCGACUUAUAUUCUGUAGCAAGGUUAACCGAAUAGGGGAGCCGAAGGGAAACCGAGUCUUAACUGGGCGUUAAGUUGCAGGGUAUAGACCCGAAACCCGGUGAUCUAGCCAUGGGCAGGUUGAAGGUUGGGUAACACUAACUGGAGGACCGAACCGACUAAUGUUGAAAAAUUAGCGGAUGACUUGUGGCUGGGGGUGAAAGGCCAAUCAAACCGGGAGAUAGCUGGUUCUCCCCGAAAGCUAUUUAGGUAGCGCCUCGUGAAUUCAUCUCCGGGGGUAGAGCACUGUUUCGGCAAGGGGGUCAUCCCGACUUACCAACCCGAUGCAAACUGCGAAUACCGGAGAAUGUUAUCACGGGAGACACACGGCGGGUGCUAACGUCCGUCGUGAAGAGGGAAACAACCCAGACCGCCAGCUAAGGUCCCAAAGUCAUGGUUAAGUGGGAAACGAUGUGGGAAGGCCCAGACAGCCAGGAUGUUGGCUUAGAAGCAGCCAUCAUUUAAAGAAAGCGUAAUAGCUCACUGGUCGAGUCGGCCUGCGCGGAAGAUGUAACGGGGCUAAACCAUGCACCGAAGCUGCGGCAGCGACGCUUAUGCGUUGUUGGGUAGGGGAGCGUUCUGUAAGCCUGUGAAGGUGUGCUGUGAGGUAUGCUGGAGGUAUCAGAAGUGCGAAUGCUGACAUAAGUAACGAUAAAGCGGGUGAAAAGCCCGCUCGCCGGAAGACCAAGGGUUCCUGUCCAACGUUAAUCGGGGCAGGGUGAGUCGACCCCUAAGGCGAGGCCGAAAGGCGUAGUCGAUGGGAAACAGGUUAAUAUUCCUGUACUUGGUGUUACUGCGAAGGGGGGACGGAGAAGGCUAUGUUGGCCGGGCGACGGUUGUCCCGGUUUAAGCGUGUAGGCUGGUUUUCCAGGCAAAUCCGGAAAAUCAAGGCCGAGGCGUGAUGACGAGGCACUACGGUGCUGAAGCAACAAAUGCCCUGCUUCCAGGAAAAGCCUCUAAGCAUCAGGUAACAUCAAAUCGUACCCCAAACCGACACAGGUGGUCAGGUAGAGAAUACCAAGGCGCUUGAGAGAACUCGGGUGAAGGAACUAGGCAAAAUGGUGCCGUAACUUCGGGAGAAGGCACGCUGAUACGUAGGUGAAGCGACUUGCUCGUGGAGCUGAAAUCAGUCGAAGAUACCAGCUGGCUGCAACUGUUUAUUAAAAACACAGCACUGUGCAAACACGAAAGUGGACGUAUACGGUGUGACGCCUGCCCGGUGCCGGAAGGUUAAUUGAUGGGGUUAGCGCAAGCGAAGCUCUUGAUCGAAGCCCCGGUAAACGGCGGCCGUAACUAUAACGGUCCUAAGGUAGCGAAAUUCCUUGUCGGGUAAGUUCCGACCUG